CCCCAUAAAAUUUUAAAAUUUAUUUUUGCGAGUUUCAGUAAUAUUUUGAGUCAUUUACGUAUUUGAAAUUCGUUGGGUGGUUCGAUUUGUGGCUUGGUUCGUGGCUCGGUUCGGUCUUUGGUUCUCUAGGUUUGUGGUACAUGCGGAAAAUCUCAGGUCUCAAUCGAGACCUGAAAUUUUCACGUAAAGUCUCGUUCGAGACCUUCAGUCUCGAACGAGACUUCUUCAAUUUGUUGUUGGUCUCGUUCGAGACCAGCAUUUUGGUUCACAGGGGUCCAUUUUUUCCUUCGUUUUAUAACCUAACUAACUCCUAUAAAUCCGUAACUUUUCAAUCCUAAUCUAUUCACCACACGGCACACUAAACCCUAGCUGCCAAUUCUUGCUGAUCCUUUGAGGAAUCGCUGCCCUUAUUUUCCUCCCAAAGUUUCCAAAAUUUUUGCAAAUUCAGUUCCGCUUCGUCGCUGAGAAAGUAGACUCAUUCCUCUACAACUUUGCCUUUCGAAUUUUGUCAAACGCCGUUUGGAGAUCGAAAUCCGUUCCGUUCAUUCCCCGUGAUAGUAGGCUCGCUCCUCUACGAUUCUACACUUUUCUUUUGUCAAACGGUACGUAAACGCACCCGUAUCAAUCGCCGUCGUUUCAUCGUUUUGCGGUAGCUUAAGUUUCUACUUGCUCUGUUUAUUGUCAUAGGCUAAGUGUUGAUUCCUGGGUGUGAUUCUUAUUACGUUAGGCUAUUAUCUUACGUCCGAAUCAAGUCGUUUCAUCUCUGAAAUUCUUCAAAACUUCAUUGAUUCUCAGAGACCCGUCGACUGCUCGUGCUUCGGAGUCUACGCAGGGUUAACUGUUUGCCAAGAUCACGUGGAUAAGCAAGCAGUUUAUUAUUUUGAGCGAGUCUGCAGAUCUCCGAAUCUUUAUUCCUCGGAGGUUUAUUUUCUUUUUAAUAAAUUGUCAAACUACUUUUAUUCUUAGACCGCAGUAGUAAAUUAGAAGUCUAUAUUAUUCUAGUCUGUUUGUCGGAUUUGUCUGACUGGCUUUCUUUUAUGCUUUGGCAUUAAUAUUGUUUAACUCUGGUUAUAUUUAUUUAAUGGAAGUACUUAUAUUUAAACUGUUA